CACUACCGACAACAAAAGGCAAAAUGUGACUCCUCAGAUUCGACAAAAAAGAAGAAGAAGAGGAAGAGCCAGGCUAUCCACCAGGAUGAUGUUCUGUCAGAAGAGCACUCAUUAGUUGAACAGGAUGAAGCUUUCGUCCAACAUGAGGCUGAUGGUGAACUGUCAAACACAAGUACAGCAGAGGAGCACGCAGUUGUGGAGAAAGAAGUGAAAAAUGGUAUCGACCAUAAUCAUUCAGAGCUCCAUGUCUGCCGGUUAAGAAUAAUUGAGCUUGAAGAGCAGUUGCGAGGCAAAGAAACAGCUUUGGAACAUUUCAUCAUUGAACUGGAGGAUCUGCAGGAGCAACUGUCUAGCCACCAGGACAGUGAGCAAAUGCAACAGGU